UCUCUGACUCUGAAGGCGAAGAGAUGGGAGGGGUCGAGAGAGGACGGUGAUGCUGUAUAAUAAGAGGUUUGUUAUGUUCAGGUGCAAAAGCUGAGAAGAAGAACAGAAGCACACAUUACCACAAACUUAACACACACCCUGCGUGGAGUACAGGACUUACAUGAGAUAUGGUUCUUCUCAUUUCAGUGACCCUGCUCUUAUCAGGAACACGGAGAAAACACCAUGCUAGGGAAACCUAGCAAACCGUCCCAGCUUUGGAUUCGAUACAAUUAGCCCAGUGGACUGGGUUUUUGGUUACCUGGAAUAUUUUCUUCUUGACUGCCAGUUUUAUUUUGCAAGCCUAUCAAACUCUAUGCCCGAUGAGAAGCAAUGGCUAAGGUUCAUGUUGUCCAGUUUUUUUUGGCCCAGCCUGCCAGUGAGCACAGCGUCUAGUAGCCAUGGGAUACAGGGGACUUGAGAAUGUAACUCAGAUAGUGGGAGUACUCGUGAUGGUGUUCAGGAGUCCAGAAUCCAAGGCCAUCCUGUAACAUCUUUUGGGUGGGGUCAGUCUCACAGAUAAACCUGCCCUCUCAUUCACCACGGAAUAUGAGCAGGCAAACAGGAUGACAUCCUCCCCAAGACUCCAGCCUGAGACCCAUGAGGUGGUCUCACUUGCUGAGCUCCAGCCAGAGGUCAACGUUGCGACCUCAUCCCCAGAGCUCCAGCAGGAGACGCACAAGGUGGUCUCAUCCAGAGCUCAAAGAGACGACCUCUCAAGCCAAGUUCAUGUCCGAGGUUGAAAAGACAACCUCUCAAGGCAAGUUCCUGUCCAAGGUCAAAGAGACGACCUCCCAAGCCAAGUUCCAGUCUGAGGUCGUAGAGAUGAUUUCUCAAGCCAGGUUCCUGUCUGAGGUCGAAGAGACGACCUCUCAAGCUAAGUUCCUGUCCAAGAGUCGAAAAGACGGACACCAAUGCCUAGUUUACGUACAAGGUCAAAGAGACGACCUCUCAAGCCAAGUUCCUGUAUGAGGUCUAAGAGAUGACCUCUGAAGCCAAGUUCUUGUAUGAGCUACACACUUGACUAAUCAGACCCACCUGUUCCCAAUUACAAUUUCAAUCACAGCACACUAC